CCUACUAAUCCAGAGGUUGAAUUAGAGAUGCUGUGUUUAGGGCAAGUAGACCACUUCAACUCCUUUGGUAUUGAACUCACAAGGUUGUGGAUGGCUGGGGGCAUUGUCUGAUGUCAAAAGGACUUUAAAAAGCAGUCCCUUACUGGCAAGUUACUUCCUAACUUCAGGGACAAAGCAUUGAUGGAAUCAAUCCAGAAAAAGGGUUCUUGUUAUCUAUGCAGGCCUU